GCCGAUAUAGCUCAGCUGGUAGAGCAGCACUUUCGUAAAGUGAAGGUCGGCGGUUCGAAUCCGCCUAUCGGCUCCA
rnacentral:tRNA from 2 species